rnacentral:rRNA from 1 species
CCUACGGGCGGCAGCAGUGAGGAAUAUUGGUCAAUGGGCGGGAGCCUGAACCAGCCAAGUCGCGUGAGGGAAGACGGUCCUAUGGAUUGUAAACCUCUUUAGGCGGGGAGCAAUGCCGGGCACGCGUGCCCGGAGGGAGAGUACCCGCAGAAUAAGCAUCGGCUAACUCCGGGCCAGCAGCCGCGGUAAUACGGAGGAUGCGAGCGUUAACCGGAUUGAUUGGGUUUAAAGGGUGCGUAGGCGGAUUUUUAAGUCAGAGGUAAAAUGUCCGGGCUCAACCCGGGCCGGCCGUUGAAACUGGGGAUCUUGAGUGGGCGAGAAGUAUGCGGAAUGCGUGGUGUAGCGGUGAAAUGCAUAGAUAUCACGCAGAACUCCGAUUGCGAAGGCAGCAUACCGGCGCCCGACUGACGCUGAGGCACGAAAGCGUGGGGAUCGAACAGGAUUAGAUACCCUGGUAGUC